rnacentral:rRNA from 1 species
CCCCGUGCAGAAGCGGGGAUAUUAACAUAAGACGAGAAGACCCUAUGGAGCUUUAGACACAUGACAGAUCAUGUUAAAAAUCUCCCUUAAGAAAAAAACCCAUUGAACCCUGUCCCAAUGUCUUUGGUUGGGGCGACCACGGGGUAACACAAAACCCCCGAGUGGACCAAGAGUACUAGACUCUUAAACCCAAGAGCUACAGCUCUAAGCAACAGAAAUUCUGACCCUACAAGAUCCGGCAACGCCGAUUAACGAACAGAGUUACCCUAGGGAUAACAGCGCAAUCCCCUUCUAGAGCCCAUAUCGACAAGGGGGUUUACGACCUCGAUGUUGGAUCAGGACAUCCUAAUGGUGCAGCCGCUAUUAAGGGUUCGUUUGUU